GAUGAGAACGCAGCGAAAUGCGAUAAGUAAUGCGAAUUGCAGAAUCCGUGAGUCAUCGAAUCUUUGAACGCACAUUGCGCCCUCUGGUAUUCCGGGGGGCAUGCCUGUCCGAGCGUCAUUACAACCCUCAAGCUCAGCUUGGUGUUGGGCCCCGCCGCCCCGGCGGGCCCUAAAGUCAGUGGCGGUGCCGUCCGGCUCCGAGCGUAGUAAUUCUUCUCGCUCUGGAGGCCCGGUCGUGUGCUCGCCAGCAACCCCCAAUUUUUUUCAGGUUGACCUCGGAUCAGGUAGGGAUACCCGCUGAACUUAAGCAUAUCAAUAAGCGGAGGA
rnacentral:misc_RNA from 1 species